AAAAAGACCAGAACUAAAAUAAAAGGAGAGAAACAUUUGUGACAGCUCUUUGGAAACUUAAUAGAAUACAUAAUGAGGAGUCAGAUAUAGAAAAUCAAGUAAGAGAAAGCUAUACACUUAACUUUGAUGCUGGUAGAAAUCAGAAAUAAUAGUGAAAUAGGCUCCAAGCUACUUUUAACAGAUUUACUUUCUUCUUCUGUAGCAUCUUUAUUACACGUGGAAUAAUGAUGUGACUCAUAAGCAGUUCACAAAAUACCUGUGUAGAAUUUCAAAUCAUAUUAUCUAAUACUUUUUCUUUCAAAAUAUACAAUAUAUACUGACAAACAAAGUAAAGAAAUUUAAGCUAAAUAAGCAGUUUAUAACUGCAUCGCAGACUGAACAUAGCUGCAGGUAGCAACAUUUCCACUGCCCUAAGAUCAUUUUAUUCUUAAUUGACAGCUGUCAAUUUCUGUGACAGAAACACAAGACAUCCUUGACAUUUCUUCAUUCGCAUAACAUACUUUGGACAAAGUCGCAACCAGGAGAGAAACAUAGAAGUGUCAUACAUGGAAAUACUAUGGAAUACUGUUUUGUU